rnacentral:rRNA from 1 species
ACAACCCUAUGCGGUGGAUCACUUGGCUCGCGAGUCGAUGAAGAGCGCACCAAACUGCGUGAAUUAAUGUGAUUUGCAGGACACAUUGAUCAUCGAUAUCUUGAACGCAUAUUGCGGUUAUGGAUCGCUUCCAUGACCACGCCUGUCUGAGGGUCGGUAUUAAUAU